GCCCGGUUAGCUCAAUCGGUAGAGCGUGAGACUCUUAAUCUCAAGGUUGCGGGUAUGUAAAAAAAACCCUUCAAUUGAAAGUCAAAUGACUCGAUAGAUAUGCUAACAAAGUCCUGAAUAGGUUCGACCCCCGCAUUGGGCU